GCUUGCUCUUUGCCGGCGAGCGGCGGACGGGUGAGUAAUGUCUGGGAAACUGCCUGAUGGAGGGGGAUAACUACUGGAAACGGUAGCUAAUACCGCAUGACCUCGAAAGAGCAAAGUGGGGGAUCUUCGGACCUCACGCCAUCGGAUGUGCCCAGAUGGGAUUAGCUAGUAGGUGAGGUAAUGGCUCACCUAGGCGACGAUCCCUAGCUGGUCUGAGAGGAUGACCAGCCACACUGGAACUGAGACACGGUCCAGACUCCUACGGGAGGCAGCAGUGGGGAAUAUUGCACAAUGGGCGCAAGCCUGAUGCAGCCAUGCCGCGUGUGUGAAGAAGGCCUUAGGGUUGUAAAGCACUUUCAGCGAGGAGGAAGGCACCAUACUUAAUACGUGUGGUGAUUGACGUUACUCGCAGAAGAAGCACCGGCUAACUCCGUGCCAGCAGCCGCGGUAAU
rnacentral:rRNA from 1 species